rnacentral:tRNA from 1 species
GGUCGGAUGGUCUAGCUUGGUAAGAUUUUUGCUUCGGGAGUAAAGGAUUCUGGGUUCAAAUCCCAGUCCGACCA